CUCUGGGUACACAUGCCUGAAUAAACCCCACUUGGUAAAUUCCCAGGCCAUCUGAGUCAUCUCUUCUGUAACAUUUUGUUUCCCUGACUGGGAAACGACUCAUGGAGCCAAGCUGAUUGCCUCCAGUGAAGGCAGCCAAGGGGCUGAGCGUGGGGCCUGGCAAUGAUAAGGAGGUGCAUGCCCCGGUGAUUUGAGGUCCUGGACAUAGGCUCAGCCCCCGGACCACUCUUUGACCAAGCCUGGUGGGGUGCAAACUGGUGCAGUCUGUGUAGUCGCCAAUCUGGCUAGGACAGAAAGGGUUCAGAUAUCUGGAAGGAGGGACAUCCUAAUAUAUUCCCAUCAGCCCGAGUGAAGUAUAAUGGGCCACGAGAGUUUUGGAUAGGUGUAGCAUGCCUUGUACACCUUCCUCCAGGUUUGCAAGAUGGGCACCUCCACAUUCCUGCAACAGCUCCAGUUGCUCCUCCGUCAACAGGCACUACUUCUGACUGGCAUGAUCUGAGACUGGCCUCACUAGACAAAGAAAG